GGGCCAUAGCUCAGUGGCAGAGCAACUGCUUUGUAUGCAGGAGGCCCAAGGCUCAACCCUCAGCAUCUCCA